rnacentral:lncRNA from 1 species
UGACUUCAAUUUUUCUCUGGUGAUCAUAUAUUCAUAUGUAUAUUCUUUUCUAAGAGACGCUCAACGGAUGCUUGGAAGCUAUUUACUGAGACUGUUGCAAGUAAGCUCGUCUAAUCGUUUCUUUGUAUCAGUGAUGAUUAAAAGUGUCUGAAACCUCUUUUUUUUUUUUUACUUUAAUGUCUUUAGUACUUUACCGCGCUUUCUAAGAAAAGUUCUCUAGAAAAAGUUCGAAAAAAUCGCACCUUAUUUUUCCCCUCGGUGUUAAGAAAUAAAUAAAUAUAAAUUGAACAGGAAAAUUUUGAAGACUUGCUUCUCUUGACUCCCCUUCCCUCCAAAACAGAGCCCAGAAUACAAGUCUUGUGGGCAUCUUUGAUUUGUUGUCUAAUUUGACUCCUUCAAACAUUAUCUUCCUUGUGAUUGAUCCACUACGACGUAUGCUAUGGGCAAUACCAGCACUAACCCUGCAUUCAAUCUCGUCAGUUUGAUUGAAGUAGUCUUUGAAGUUGUUAAAUUUAUUCCUCGACUCAGAUGUGCAUGUAUGAUCAUUAUUGGAUUUAUUACUCAUUUUCUGUAAAUAGGAUUGCUGGUGAUAGGAAACCAUUGUGUUCGUCUAUUAGUAUACUUAGGUGAUCAGUUUUUCAGAGUACUUCGAACAUAACACACUCUAAAAUCAGAUGACGAAUAAUCUACACAAUGUCACAUUUCUCAUCCUUUUAACAUUCAGAGAGAAAAACAAUUAAGUUCAAAUACCUGACCUUAACUCUUACAAUACUUAUUUACUCUAUGCUUAAAGCCAAAUUAUUAUCACUCAUACUAGGAAUCUAUUCUUUAGUCGACAUGAGAUAUUAAAGAUGUAGAGACAAUCGUUAAAAGCAAAAAGAAGUACAGAACACUAAAAUACUAAAUAGCUGUUAAGUAAGAGGACAGACUAGGAGGUGCUGGGAUGUCCACGGUCCCUUCCAGCAUCAGUAGAACCUUCUUCAUGGAUGGGCGAAGCGAUGGUUCAUCUAAAAUGCACCACAGGCCUACUCUCACCAUUCUUUCAAAUUUCUUCCUAUCUGUCUCCUCAUCAAUUAUUAAUUUAGCAAGAUCAUUAUCCUCAAAGCACUGAUAGACCCAUUCUUCAAGAACAGCUUCCUCCUCCGAGAGGCUUAGGUUGACACUUCUCCUGCAACAAAUGAUCUCUAAAAGCAUGAUACCGAAACUAUAGACAUCUGCCUUAACAGUAACAGCCAUAUUUCGGUGCCAUUCAGGUGCAACGUAACCCCUUGUACCUCUUAUCCCUGUAUAUGUAUUUGUUUGGUCUGCCUUCAGGAGCUUUGCCAAUCCGAAGUCUGAAAUUUUGGCAGACCUGUAUUCGUCUAUCAGUAUGUUUUGAGGCUUUAUGUCGCAAUGGAUAAUUUGGGUUUCACACUCUUCGUGCAGAUAGAGGAUUCCUCUUGCAAUAUCAAGAACAAUUCUGAUUCUUUCCUCCCAUCUUGGUGGGUUUUGGGGAUCAAAAAGAAUAUCUGCAAGCGAUCCAUUAACCAUGUAUUCAUAUACCAGAAGCUUUUUUGGUCCAUCAUGACAAUAGCCCAGAAGCCUGACAAGGUUACGAUGAUGGGUUCUUCCAAUAACUUUCAUUUCAUUCUGGAACUCUUUCUCUCCUUCUGCUAACAUAUUCUCCAAUCUUUUCACAGCUACUAAUUUGUCAUUAAAUUUCCCUUUGUAAAUUGUUCCAGAUGCUCCUCUUCCAAUCUCUUCUUGAAAACCAUUUGUCACUUCUUCCAACUCUGCAUAAGUAAAUGACCGCGGAGCAAUAUCAUCCAUUAGUUCAAAAUUACCCUUUGCUGAUAUCUUUUUAUAUGCCCAUAUUCGAUUUCUGUAUGCAAGAUAUCCAGAUAUCACGAAGACAGUAAAGGCUAAGGCGCAAAGGGUUAAACUAAUGAUAAGAAUGCUCAGGCGAGGCUCUUUCUUUUUCCCUGGUCUAGAAUGACUUGGAGUUUCUAUUUGGCGUGUUGGGGAAGCCACUUUGAUAUAGGCAACAUUAGAAUCAGUCAAUAGCCUUCUUCCGUAUCUCAGUGGAAGCCGUUGUUUUCUGCACUCUCCAUCUUUAUAAAAUGCUGCUUCACAGUUACAGUCCUCCAAACAAGAUGUUUCACAAUCUUCCUUGAUUUUCAUUUUGAGGACUAAAUACGGAUCAUUUUCCCACCAAGUAUACUCCAAUGCUCUCAUGCUAUACUGGAUCCUUUGUUCACUGUUCUUGCAUAUAUCAGCAGUAUAAUUCCUCUUACAGCCUGCAGUAUAAUUCCCAGGAUUAACAUUAUCAAAUCCCGGUGGACAUAAACAUUUAGGCUCAUCAUCAUUAAGAGUACAAUACCCGUUCAGGCCACAUAAUCCUUUCGGACUACAUUUAUCACCAGAAGAUUUCCAUACAAUCGACGAGAUGUUGUCUUUUCUACCCAAAUUAAAUGAAUACAGUCGAAGGAUACCAUCGGAAUCAAUUCUCAUGAGGUAAACUCUCUGUUUCUCAGAAAGCCCAUCAGAUAGAUUUUUGAGAAUGCUGACAGAAUUAUUAAGCAAGUACAGGUGUCCAUCAGGAUCAAGAUUCAGUGUCACAUUGACCCCUUGGUUAUUAGUUGAAGAUGACCAGUAAGCAUACGGUGCAGUAUCCGGAGUCUGCACUGGGUACUGCACAAGGUUCGAAUCACUCUGCAUUUUAAGUCUGAAUAUUCCUGUGGAGUAAUCAGAAUCCGAUGCCCUUGAAAAUAAUUCUUGAUUCUGUGAAAGAAUCUGACCAGGUAAGAUUGCGUCAGUUGGGUGAUCAAAACUCUGCCAGAUCUUUUCUUGGUUAGAACCAAAGAGCACGAAGUUGCCAGAGUCUAGCAUGGAAGCCGAAGAAAUAGAUUGAUCAACUAUAACAGCAUCAGUAGUCGAGUCUUGAGAUUGGAGGAUGAGCCUCCCAUCCGGAGUUAACUGCAAGGUUACGCCACUGGAGACAGGAGGAUCAUCUCUGUUGGCUGUCCAAACUACGGUUUUAUUCAGACGAAGACCAGCAAUAAAAAUUCCAACCCUGUAGGUGUUAUUGCCUUGCGGAUAGAAUCCAAAGGCAAAUAAACCUGAAGGUGACAACCAAGACGAGUUUCCAGUUGGCGUCAGAGAGGAGCCUUGGCUUAUACUAUUAGAUGUUCUUCGUUGAGCUGCUACAAAAUAUGUAGCAGACAGCAGAACAAGGAGAGUAAAUAGAGAAUUGGCCAUGAAAAUGUUUAUUAAUUGUUUGUGUUCUUGCAUUGGCCAUGUACUGGAGCUAUAUAAUGAAAUCCAAGCUACACUCUGCAAGUUUCCUUCCAAGAAAAACAACUGGAGACCGGACCCGAUGACUUGCAGGUCAACUUUAAUUUUAUCAGGAAAAUAAUUGUGAUAUUGAUGGGACUCAAAAGAACGUGUAGACUAUUUCUUUGCAGGAAUGUGUAAUCAGUUCAACAAUGUCGCAGAAACUUGUAUACAACGUUGGCUGAAAAAUCAACUUUCAUUUAAAAGCCCUUUAAAAAUAAUAUCAAGAAAGUCUGAUACUGACAGGUCUAUACGAACAUAAUAUUGUUCUCAGCGAAAAAAAAGUUUUAUACUGUAAUUGUUAAAAAUAAAUAGGCCAAAACAAUGUUAUAUAUAGGUGUUUAUAUCAAGUUACUCACCGUCUCCCUAAGGUUGUGUUCACUUGGAGUGAAUGUAAGGGAGGGAGAAUGGAAUGAAUUGAGUCUCAAGUAGCUCUUUUUAUUGGUUUCCAGAGCGACUCAAUUGAACGACUAAACACUACUAAAUAUCCUGCUGUUAUCUUUUAUUAAAACUUUUAACGGGAGUCGUGACAUGGCAAUAGUGCAUACGGAAGGAGGAGAGACCUGGUAAGCUUGACUCUAACGACUAGCUUGAUCACGUACUUUUUUUUUUCCACAAAAAACGGUUGUAUUAAACCAAGAUCGAAAGUUACAAAUUCGGAUGGACAGAGUUUCCUUCGUUCAAGAAGGUAUAUCAUCUAACCGAAAGAUGUACAUACUCCGAAUGCUUAGAUAACAUAGCCUUUCAAGUCAGAAGAGAUAACCCACAAAAAAGGGUCUCGUUAAAACCCCUCAAGAGUAAAACCCGUGGGAAAAAACUCAAGGGGGAAAAAGAAUGCCCUACAAAAAUUACAUCGAUUAUAAAACAGACUAAAAAUAGAUGUCUUCUUUAAUCCGGAGUAUGUAUCAUUAUUUCCUCCACUCUCUUGCCCUGAAAAAAUACAAUACAAAAGAACAUAAUAAGUACAUACCGACAAUAAAAUAAUAAAACUAAUUAAUAAGACAGAUGAAAAGGUUUAAAAAACCCAUAAUUAAAGAAAAAUAUAAGAAUAUAAUAUAAUUUUUUAUUUAAUAAAAGAGUAAAUCAGAACUAAUAUUAAACAAAUUAAAGAAAUCUACACCAAAGAUAUAAGAGAUCUCUUUGGUUAGAUACAUAAUAAAAAUCCCAUAUGGAAAUAACUGACAUAUAUACUAACAAAUAUUUAAAAUAAGAAAAUAAAGUUUGGAUAUUGAAAACAUAAUUAAGAUAUAUCUAGUCAAAUAUAAGACAAAAUCUUAUCAAACAAAUGUAUCACGAUUAUGCCUGCUUCUUAUUAUUAACGCAAUACAAAUUUGGUAUACACCAAUCAAUCAAUCAACCAUUAAUGGCGCUAUAAUAUACCUCAUUAAGGCACAAUAAAUUUGGUAUACACCAAUUAAUCCAUUAACCAUAAAAGGUCCAAAAAUCCAUCAUAAAAUGGCAACAAGUCAUCAUAAAUGAUCCUUCCUUUUACGGAUACAAGAACCACCAAUUAUGGCACAAAGACGGAAAUAUAAUAAUACUCUAUUUCAAAAUAUGUAACUUUCCCAAACAAUAUUACUCUAAAAUUAUGUCAAUCAAUAAUUAAUGUACAGUAGAAACUCUUUAAAUUAAUACUCGUUAAAUUAAUAAACUCUCUAAAUUAAUAAAUUUGUCCGGUCCCGACUUGGGCUAAUGUAGAAAAUUGGAAAACUCGAUAAAAUAAUUAUAUAAUAAUUUUUCGUGAGAUUCCUUUAUAAUUUUCGGUCCCAAGAAAAUCAUAAAUUAAUAAUUCAUAGAAAUCGAAAAAAAAUUAUAUUACGCUCUAUUGAAACAUGAUUCAAUAGAUUUCUGUUUUCCUUUAAAGUUCAAGUUUAUUUGGAGCUCAUUUUUAUUGAAAUAUGGUUUGAAUACUCUUAACAUAUUUAUGUAAUUUAUAUAUGUCAAACUUGUUUAAGAAUACUGUACAUUGAACACGUUUAUUACUCUUAUUUACAUCUAUUGUACAGUAAUUCAAAAGUCAUUAUUAAUUUCCAAUACAUAUAACACAAUAGUUACUAAUUUACGUUGAGUCUUAAGAUUCUCUGCAAUGUAAUUCUAAAAGGCAUAGACUAAUUUAUCUUUUUGUUUGUAUGGACAGAAUAAUCAGUUAAAAUCUCUUUAAAUUAAUAAUUAUUAAUUUAUCGAUAAAUUAAUAAUUCUCUAAAUUAAUAAAUUUCUCCGGUCCCGACAUUAUUAAUUUAUAGAGUUUUUACUGUAUGUAAUUAGAUAGUUUCAGAAUUAAUUAGUUACCUAAAUUAUUGCAAUCAAUUAAUAGAGUCAUAGAAAGCUUCAAACUAAAAGAUAUGUGAUUUAGAUUAAAAAAAAAAAAAUAGAAUUGUAUCAUGCAGAAUAAGGAUAUCGAUCAAUCCUAAUAAACCAAACACAAGUCCAGUUGACACAUAAAUCAAGGAAAAACAUAGGAUUAGAAAAACCAUCAAACCCACAAGUUUUACGAAAAAUCAAAUAGUGACAAAAAUUAAUUUAAGGUGGCGAUAAUCUAUUCCUUAUGAAACAAAAAGGAAAACAGAUAAACCCUAAUUUAGUAUUUAAAACAUACUAACAUACAUAUAAAGGAACAUGAAAUGAGAGUUAGCUCUAAAAGUUGAAAAACGGGAUGUGUAUAUAUGUAUGAUACAUACUAAAGUUGAAGCGUGGCGUAUCGGUGAAAGAGGGACCGGGCAUUUAACUAAAAUGGAUUGGAUUGUAUAACAACGAAAAGAUUUGAUCAAAUAAAACUAACCGUUUCGAUGAUCUAAAAUCCAUCAUUAUCAUGUUAAGCUUGAUCUCAUGCUAACAAAAUCAAAGUCACAAAACCCUUCUUUGUUAUACACACCCAUUAUACAUACAUACGAAUCCCCCAAUUUGCUGUUGCUGGAAUCGGAUUCCGCCAAAUCAGCGCCAGUUUUCGUCACCACUAGCGCCGGAGGAUCGCCUUCGUCGUCCUUGUUGUCUAAUAGCUUGUCCUGCACUUCUGUUUAAAUGACAAAACAAAAUAUCCAUGCCUAGCCAGUCAUUUUUAUCUGCGCUUCAAAACUUUUGAGUUCUGGAGUUUAGCCCUUAGAUGUUGCUACUUUACUGGUGAAAAAUUUCAGAUGUAAAAGUAUUGAUAGCUUGAUCACGUACUUGUGUGUGUAUAACAUUAUAUUCGUUAUAAGAUCCAUUAAACAAAAGACGUCAUUGGUGAUUGAGAUCAACUAGAAUUUAUGAAUAUAAUGAUAACAAGGAACAAAGGAAUGAAUUGUUAUUGGAACUGUUAUAUAAUAUGAUGUCUUAAAUCACCGGAAGAUAUUAAGAUAAUGUCGGAGUUGCUUUCGAAGUCUGCUCCAACUUCUAAAAUACGUGAAUUUGCAGUGCUUUUUGAUUAAUCCAGCUCUCCCGAUUCCCUUUCAUUUUAACUGUGGAUUUAUCAAUAUCUUGACACUGGAAAUCAGCUGGGUUGUGAAAGGAUUUUAAAUUUGCAGUGGUCCAUUCACUUAAGCCAUUUCAUUUUAAUGGAGAAAACUGUUUGUAAUGUAUUCGGUUCAUCUGUAGUCAUAAGCGGAUUCCUUUGAGUUUCAAACAUAUUAAUCAUUUAACGUAAACCAAAAAGUUCUGUUCUCCGUUCUCUGGUAUAUGCUUUGUGGAUCACAAGUUAGUUCCCACUACCCACUUUGUAUCUAAAUAGUGUAUUAAUCAUUUCAAAUUCUCGGGUUUAUAUUUUAAUGUUUAAAAGUUGAACUUAAUUCAAAUCAAACUAUUUUAAAAAUUCAGACAUGUCAUUUGUAAUAUAAUCCUGGUCUGUAAACCUACAUUAAAGUGAUUUGUUUCUGGAUCACAUGUUACAGAUUAGUGUCAAAUUACUGAUGUUUAGUCAUUAUGCUACUCCUGCUGUUGCGAGUAAGCUCCUCUAACUCUUCUUUUUAUAUCCAUGUAUAUGUUAUUAAUCGUGAUUAUGUUGCUGGAAGUAAGUUCGUUUAACUGUUUGUUUACACCCAUCUAUAUGUUAUUAAUCGUGAUUAUGCUCCAGAAUUUUAACACAAUUUUUGUUUGAUAGCAGCUCGAGUCACUAUUUCUUGACGUAGCAACUGAUAUUUUCAAUUCCUUCACCUUAGUUAUAAGAUUAAACAAAUGAUUUACUGCCCGAGGAAAGAGNNNNNNNNNNNNNNNNNNNNNNNNNNNNNNNNNNNNNNNNNNNNNNNNNNNNNNNNNNNNNNNNNNNNNNNNNNNNNNNNNNNNNNNNNNNNNNNNNNNNNNNNNNNNNNNNNNNNNNNNNNNNNNNNNNNNNNNNNNNNNNNNNNNNNNNNNNNNNNNNNNNNNNNNNNNNNNNNNNNNNNNNNNNNNNNNNNNNNNNNNNNNNNNNNNNNNNNNNNNNNNGAAAGAGUGAAAAUUUACAGAAAACCGCAUUUGUCUUUUAAGAUGAAAAGUUUGUCAAGGAAACAAUGGGGGUGUUUGGCCCGGGCGUAAAAGCCCGACUUCUGGGUUUAUAAGUUAGAAACACUAGUUGUACCAUUUGUGUAAAAAGUCAAAGGAGUACUUAUAAGAAGUUGAGAAUGCUAGUUUUUGUUUCAUGGUUUCCCCUUCUUCCCCAAAUACUUUAAUCAUUUAUAAGUCUUAACUUGCUUCUAACUUCUAGUUCACUUCUUUAUUUUAAGCAAGAAACUUUAAUUUUAAGCUCACCCAAACGGCUACAAUAUAACAGCAUAGCAAAUAUUCAACUGCAAUUUUUUUUUAAUGGAAUGCAGAACUUAUGUCAUAAAUAUACAUUCUGAUAAUAUGAUAUAAGAAGUAGAACAAUUCAUUCAGCUGCACUUACUUCAAAUCUUCUAUAGUGAUAUGCAUAUUUGGGUACAGGCUGAAAUUUGUACUACUGGCAAUAUCUUGCAUGACCAUUAAUUAUGAGAAACUGUACGAAAGAGUAUCAUCGGUAGGAAAAUGAAAGACGCUAAUUACCUGUGAAAUACGAAUGAAGACUUGGAGGUGCUGGGAUGUCGUCGUUACCUUCAAGCAUCAGCAGAACCUUCUUCAUGGUUGGGCGAAUAGAUGGUUCAUCCACAACACACCAGAGGCCUACUCUCACCAUUCUUUCAAAUUUGAUCAUAUCAGUUUCGACACUAGUUACCAGCUUAGAAAGCUCAUUUUUCUCAAAACAUUGUUGAACCCAUUCUUCAAGAAUAGCUUCCUCGUCCGACAGGUCAGGAAUGACACUUCUUCUGCAACAUAGGAUCUCCAAAAGCAUGAUUCCAAAACUAUAGAUAUCUACCUUAGCUGUAACUGCCAUCUUUCAGUGCCAUUCAGGUGCAACGUAACCCCUAGUACCUCUUAUCCCUGUAUUUGUAUUUGUUUGGUCUGCCUUUAGGAGUUUUGCCAAUCCGAAGUCUGAAAUUUUGGCUGACAUGUACUCAUCUAUCAAUAUGUUUUGAGGCUUUAUGUCGCAAUGGAUAAUUUGGGUUUCACACUCUUCGUGCAGAUAGAGGAUUCCUCUUGCUAUCUCAAGAGCAAUUCUAAUUCUUUCAUCCCAUCUCGGUGGGUUUUGGGGAUCAAAAAGAUUAUCUGCAAGUGAUCCAUUGACCAUAUAUUCAUAUACCAGAAGCUUUUUUGGUCCAUCAUGACAAUAGCCCAGAAGCCUGACAAGGUUACGAUGAUGGGUUCUUCCUAUGACUUUCAUCUCAUUCUGGAACUCUUUCUCUCCAUCUAUUAACAUAUUCUCCAAUCUUUUCACAGCGACU